CACCCGACGCUGGUGCCGGUUGGUUGCUCCUUCAUCAUCGAGGGACGUUCGGGGAAGAACCAGAGGUGGGACGCCAGUGGCAGGGAUGUAGGUGAGGCGGAGGAUCUCGGAUCCGGCGACGAAGCCAUGGAUGUUCAACCAGACCAUCAUGUUCGCAUUGACCUUGUGGGCUGCUGCUUCUCCAACAUCAUCUGCAAGAAGUGGUACAUCGACAUGAACAAUAGGGCUGGAGAGUUCAAGGAGCUGGACUGGUUCUUCAACAGAAAGAAGGGCGGGAUGUUCCUGACCAGGAGCAAGGAAGGACUACAACUUUAUUUGGUUUCCAAAUUUUUCAUAAGAAUCUGCAACCGUAUGAGGAGCAAGCAAAUUUGGCAUAGUGCCUGCUCUCAUGAAGAUGAAUGUGUCCUGUUUGUCAAUGCCGGUGGGUAUAUCUGAAAAAACUGCAAAGGAAGCAGAAGACAAUGUGCUCCCGAGAGAGAUGUGAGGAGACAAGAGAGGAGAUUGCUGGAUCUGGAAAUGGAGGUCAGCACCACCUACAGGACAAGAGCGCCGCUCCUCUCCGACUCUCCAAGAAGACAAGAUUAGUCUGUCAUCGACAGUGUUUUUGCAACUAGCAGUAAAAGCUGGUGUGUUUUAUGACAGAGUGACAAAUAUGACUAUUUGGGGAAACCAUUCAACAACUUAGGUUCCUAAUUUCUUGAAUGCCAAAAUUAAUGAGAGGCCAGUAAAAGAAGUCAUCAAAGAUACAAAGUGGCUAGAGGAGGAUUUUCCUAUAACUGUUUAAAAGAUACACAGAGAAGGUGGUGGUGCCGCCGAGGCUGUUGCUCCUGGUGUUAGAGAGGGUGUCACUGAACGAUGCCGCCGGCUUGCCCGAGGUGGCCUGCACGUCUUCAUGACCAGCCAUCUCCCCAAGUGAGUCCCUUCCCUUUGAGAAAAUCUCUCUGGCUAAUUUGUUUGUUAGGAUUGCAGAACGUGAAUCUUCCUUAGUCAUCACCAAAUUGACAUUCUCUGACUAACUGAAAAAUAACAAAGUAUUGAAUGGUGCUACUUGUCGUGGAAUUGGCACAACAGAUGUCCUAGUGAAAGGACUUAAUCGCGGAGCCAUCGCAACUAGGAAGCUUGAAGGGGUUAAUUGGGACAAGAGACACGGGAGGUUUAUACUAGUUU